CGGUCCAGACUCCUACGGGAGGCAGCAGUAGGGAAUCUUCCGCGAAUGGGCGAAAGCCUGACGGAGCAACGCCGCGUGAGUGAUGAAGGUUUUCGGAUCGUAAAACUCUGUUAUUAGGGAAGAACAAAUGCGUAAGUAACUGUGCGCAUCUUGACGGUACCUAAUCAGAAAGCCACGGCUAACUACGUGCCAGCAGCCGCGGUAA
rnacentral:rRNA from 1 species